GUCGAACGGUAGCACAGAGAGCUUGCUCUUGGGUGACGAGUGGCGGACGGGUGAGUAAUGUCUGGGAAACUGCCUGAUGGAGGGGGAUAACUACUGGAAACGGUAGCUAAUACCGCAUAACGUCGCAAGACCAAAGAGGGGGACCUUCGGGCCUCUUGCCAUCAGAUGUGCCCAGAUGGGAUUAGCUAGUAGGUGGGGUAAUGGCUCACCUAGGCGACGAUCCCUAGCUGGUCUGAGAGGAUGACCAGCCACACUGGAACUGAGACACGGUCCAGACUCCUACGGGAGGCAGCAGUGGGGAAUAUUGCACAAUGGGCGCAAGCCUGAUGCAGCCAUGCCGCGUGUAUGAAGAAGGCCUUCGGGUUGUAAAGUACUUUCAGCGAGGAGGAAGGCAAUACGGUUAAUAACCGUGUUGAUUGACGUUACUCGCAGAAGAAGCACCGGCUAACUCCGUGCCAGCAGCCGCGGUAAUACGGAGGGUGCAAGCGUUAAUCGGAAUUACUGGGCGUAAAGCGCACGCAGGCGGUCUGUCAAGUCGGAUGUGAAAUCCCCGGGCUCAACCUGGGAACUGCAUUCGAAACUGGCAGGCUUGAGUCUUGUAGAGGGGGGUAGAAUUCCAGGUGUAGCGGUGAAAUGCGUAGAGAUCUGGAGGAAUACCGGUGGCGAAGGCGGCCCCCUGGACAAAGACUGACGCUCAGGUGCGAAA
rnacentral:rRNA from 1 species